GCUGUGCACACCCCAUGUCUUCAUCUCCAGCAUGCCGCAAGGAGUGCGAUGAAAGGAGCAGCUGUUCUCCCCAGGCCUUAUGUCCUCUCCUCUUCAUAGAGAGAAAGUGCAGAAGAGCAGUUCUGGACUUGGUGGGCCUGGAGAAACCCUUCAUUUUGACAGCCAGGAGUGGGUGAUCGCCCACAUUCAGCCUUCAACUUUGCAGGCCCAGAAGCAAUGUGGGAGGGAGGUGGAGACAGAGGCCAGCAAGGCUCACAAGGAGAGAAAAGUCAGCUACCCCCUGCCCCUCUGCAGUUUCCUGGGUGAAGCAAACUGGAAUUGAAAAGAGAAAAUUUUUAAACUGGGUGAGAAUAUGCAGUUAUGUGAAUUAAAAUGACUGUUCUUGUGAAUGAAAGUGAUUUGAAGGCUUAGCACCCGAGAAUGGUGAGAAAAGCUGUGUUAUUUGUGUGUGUGUUUCAAUGUUUUUGCUCAAAGUAAAAAAAAGUUUCUUGUUUAAUUGCAUUGUUAGAGAACAUGUUCUAAGUUCUUCAGAAGAGGUUGAUAUUUCCUUUGUGAGUUCUAGUACAUGGUCAUUUUUUGUAACUAAUUCAUGUCUUUGAAAAACAAAAAUGUAUUCUUUAUUCGUAAAGUACAGGGUUCUAUACAUAUUGAUCAGAUUAAAUAUGUUAAUUAUACUGUUCAAAUUUA
rnacentral:lncRNA from 10 species